CUUCUUCUGGAUAUGGUAUGAGUUUGGGUUGAGAUCGUGUUUUCAUCACCAUUUCGGUCUUAUAAUCGCACGAGUCUGUCUUGGCGUCGGAGUUCAGUUCCUCUGCAGUUACAUCACACUUCCUCUAUAUGCCCUUGUCACUCAGAUGGGUUCAACGAUGAAACGAUCGGUGUUCGACGAGCAAACAUCAAAGGCACUAAAGCAAUGGCACAUGAAGGCGAAGAGAAAGAAUGAGCAAUCUGGACAACUCAACAACUUUCCGGGAAGAGGAGACUUAGGCGGCCAAGAUUUUCCGGCGGACGGACCCCGUCUCCGGCAAAAAUCCAUCGGAGAUAUCGAAUCAGCUCCGGCCAACAUCACCGCAAGUGUUGAUGUCAAGGAAAGAGAUAAGAAUCGCCAGAACGACGACCACAUCUCAACCGGUCCCUAAACCCGCCUCGUGUUUUUUUUUUGUAUACAUCCAUACAUACGUGUACUAUAUAUAUAUAUAUAUGUAUGUAUGUAUAGGUUGAUUGGUUCAC